UCCUCUCUGUUUCUCACCGGCUCAUCUUUUAUAACUCUGUUAUCGUUUCUUCUCCCUAAUGAACAUUGCCAAAGUGGAAGAAUUUGGAAUGACCACCAUUGAAGAGGUAAAGCGUAACAAGGCUUCUUUUAAAUAUCAAAACGGUUGCUUCUACAACAGUCGACGAGAAUAGAGAUCGCCAAAUCCCAUCUUCCUUAAUACCCCUCUUUUUAUCUUCCGUCUCCUUCCCCUUCAAUCCGUUGGAUUGCUGGAGCAACAAAACGGGGUUCAGGGUACUAUUUUUCACUGCAAGAGGUCCUUCAAUGUCUCCAGAGUGUAUUCUUCCUAUAUGAAAGCCUAUGAGUUGUAGUGAAUCUAGUUAGAGGAUCCUUUGAAUGCUAUCCUUGCCCGCCAAGGUUCCUACUGAGGUUAUUUGAAUUUAAACUGGCUUGCGUUACCAUGGUGAAACAACUCUCAUCUCAUACAUUAAGCUGAAGGGGGGCAAGACUAGAAGGAACAAUAAUGAUGACAGGUUACUUGGUAUGCAGUCGCUGAAGCCUACCACCAGCACCAUCUUAUGCUUAUGAGCUCAUCUUGAGAACCGAUGAAAGACAUUUAGAGGCUGCCACAGCUUACAUUGAGAUCCUUAAAUGUAAAUUACAUCCCAGCGAUGCUACUAAUCCCCUGCUUGGAGGAUCCUUAAAUUCAAUGAACACUUAAGGAAUGUUGGGUCAGUAGCUACUAACUGAGUUGUCCAUGAAAAUGUAUGAAGGAAUGAAACAUCAUCAAUCAAUGGAUUCAAAGCCAUCUAAAGCAUUGUCUUACCUGAAACAAUGAAGUUUAUAUACUUUAGGUUAAAAGAAUUUAGCACAUGAUAGAAAGUUUGUGUGUUUUAGAUGUUGCAGAUUUGUUGACUAUGUUUGUACUUAUUGUAAUUGCUAAAGGAAGACUUUUCAA